CAGCCCAGACUCCUGAACUCCAGGCUUGUUGAUCUAACUGCUUCCCCUGUAACUCUGCUCGAUGUCUACUGCCUAGACCAAACUCCGGUGCUCUCCUUGAUGUCUCAUUCUUCCACUUUUACAUCCAAUCUGUGGCAGCCUGGGCCAGAGCCUCAGCGCAAACUGAGUGCAAACUACCCAUAACCAUGUGUAAAUCUUCACAGAGCAGAAGGAAGAGGCCAACUUUGCAGCAGAAGUCCAAGACCUUUCUGCCCCCUGGAAUACUUUACCUAUCUGCAACAUUGGAGAAGAGCGUGUGUGACUAUAUCAUGAGGAUGGAAGCGAAGCUCGCAGCAAUUACUGGGAUUUCCUUGGUUCAUGGAGUUGGCCGGAUGCAAGAUGGAGCCACUUCGUACCUGCUGUCCACACGGGCAUGACAAUUCACUGUAUUUCCACACUUAGAAUGUUCCCUUCUGCCAAUAAUUCU